rnacentral:sRNA from 1 species
AAAACAAAGCAGAAGCACCCGCUUCUCGCCUUAGUAGACAAAUGUCGCUGGGCUAGAUAUAAAAGAUGAUAUCUUGCGUAAUGCAAGUUCGGAUAUUUAUAGGCGGGUUCAUAUAGAACUCGUCUAUUUUUCUGCUG